CCAGGUGGCCAGCAGAGACCUGGGCCUGCACAGUUCACUGCUCCCACACCUGGCCAGCAAGAGCUGUCAGCAUCUUAACUACUGGCAGGUGGGAUGUACCAGUCUCUUGACAGGUAUCAAGAGAGACUCUAUCCCAGGGAAACUGACAAUGUCCAUCAGAAGCUUGGGCUGUGCUUGACAAGAGGGCCAAGAUUACUGGGGGUUUUUUUUCUUCUCUUUUGAUACCUUCUCUUUUUGAAGAAAGGUAGGAGAAUGGUUCUCUGAGCAUCAGUCAUCAUAUUAAAGGCUCUGCUGCCUUGGAGACAGUGUUAUGUCCUCUUCAGGUAGCUUUCAUUGCCUCUAGUUACUGACACUGGGAAACACAAGGCACCUGAUCAUGUGAGCAGUGGCUUUGUGGUCUGAGACAUGAGGUGUGGAAAACAAAAGAGGUCACCUAUUCAUUUUCCCGUUGUUUAACAGGCUUGUGGUAGGGGCUGAGUGGGACUCAGUUUUCUCUGGAUAAGCCCCAGAGUUCAGCCUGGGCUAACUGCCAUCACGAAUGAGUCCCAGAUCUCAGCAGCUUCAUGCAGGAGCAGGCUUGCUUCUUGCUCCUGUCUCUGUCCAGUCAGGGGGUGGGGCAGAUUUCAGAGGUCUAGAUUCUUUCCACCUGGUGGCUCAUUGUUCCCAAGACUUUGGAAUGCCUCACUGGAUCUUAGCAUCUUACUGACAGUUGGGAAAGGAGAGUGUGGACAACCUAGAGGGGAGGUUCCCAGGGGCAGGCCACUUACUCUUCUCCCAUUGGCUGGGCACAUGUCUCUCUCCCAGGGAUAGGGGGAUGAGACAUGAGGUUGAGCAAAGGCAGAAGAGGAGACUUCAGCAAGAGUAUCUGGACCCAAAUGCCAGCUGCAGAGCUGAGAACAGCAGAUGCCCACCACCCUGAAGUCACAGUAGAGAUUCUGAGUAUCAGAGUGAAGGUGGCCAUUGUGCCAGGCAGCAUUGCCCAAGAGAAAAUCAGCCAGCAGGCUCUGAAGAAGAGAACGGAUGCAGGGACAUGCUGGUGGAACGUUUUGUGCUUGCCACUGGGUGUAGAAAGAGAAAGAG
rnacentral:lncRNA from 13 species